rnacentral:misc_RNA from 1 species
GAAAUGCGAUAAGUAAUGCGAAUUGCAGAAUUCCGCGAGUCAUCAGAUCUUUGAACGCAAAUGGCGCCGGAGGGAUAUCCUUCUGGCAUGUCUGUUUCAGUGUCUGAGAGGUUUCACCAACAUCUUAAUGUGAUUGACAGCAGCAGCAGCAGCAAGCAAUUGUUGUGGUUGGUGUUGUCUCUCAUGAAAGAUGCGCGAGUGGAUCUUUCGGUCCAAUGAAGUGGUCACAUCACUCGUAUGUGAUUUCAUUGGGAGCACCGAAUUAUCCGCCAUGCUCGCGGUGUCAUCAUAUAAUAUAUGACGAAAGCAAGAAAGAAAGAAAGAAAGAGUUUCUUUCUUCUUCUUCUUCUUCUUUGGUUGUAUUUUUUUUCUCUCUCUACACCCUGCAUCUGAGAUAGGCAAGAUCACCCGCUGAACUUAAGC